GCAGGCAUGAACCCUGGGGCUGGUCUGGGAUCAAUACCAGGAGGAAGGAGAAGACCUGUGAUCUGUUUCUUUCCCUUUAUGAGGAGAUGGUGUACAUGCCCAAGAAGGAGAGAAGAUAGGAGGCCAGGCACAGUAUCCUUGUGAACAUAUCUCUCCCCUGUGAGAAACCAGCCACCAUGUUGUAAGCAGCCCUGUGGCGAGACCCACAUGAGGAAGACCAGGGCUUGCCAACAUCCUCUGAAUGCACGUGGAAACAGAUCUCUGUCCCUCCCCUCAAGGCCCAGCUGUGCAUCCAAAUGAGAUCACAGCCUUUGUUGACAGCUUGACAGUCUCCUCAUGAGCCAGAGAAAUCAGCUAGGUGACUCUCAGAUUUCAGACGCACAGAAACUGUGAGAUAAUAAAUGCUUAUUGCUUUAAAUGCUAAAUUUUUGGGGUUAUUGAUUAUGCAGCAAUAGAUAAGAUAGAUGAAGUGUGCAAUGGGAAUGAUAAAUUCUACAGUGGGCCCUAGGUCACUGUAAACAGGAGCCACAGUGAUAUAAUCCCAAGUCUCCAGUGUGGCAUGAGGCUGAGAGCAUACUAGGGUUUAUCUAACUUCUUGGUUUUGAGUUUCUUUCCAUUUCCCUAGGCUGAGGCUAAAUUGGGAUUUGCUAUGGUGAGAAUGUGUCUUCUAAAUUUCAUGUAUUGGAAACUUUCCCCAAAUUUAUAUAUUAAUGAUAUUUGGAGGUAGGACUUUUGAGAGAUAACUAGGAUUAGAUAAGGUCAUAAAAGUGGGGUCUCCAUGAUGAGACUCAAGGCUUUAUAAAAAGAGGAGGAAGGAACUGAGUUGACGUGCUCUUGCCCUCUCGCCAUGUGGUACCUUCUGCCAUGUUAUGACACAUUAAGAAGGCCUUCAUCAGAUGCGGCUCCUUGAUUUUGGACUUCCUAGCCUCCAGACUGUAAGAAAUAAACUUGUUUUCUUUAUAAAUUACCCAGUCUAUUGUAUUCUGUCAUAG
rnacentral:lncRNA from 1 species